rnacentral:rRNA from 1 species
GACCUCAGUUCAGGUGAGAUUACCGGCUGAAUUUAAGCAUAUUACUAAGCCGAGGAAAAGAAACUAACAAGGAUUCCCUAGUAGCAGCGAGCGAACAGGGAAGAGCCCAGCGCUGAAUCCCCCGGGCCUCGCUCGGCGGGAAAUGUAGCGUUUGGGAGGGCCCGUCAACACGGCGACUCGCUCACUGGUUCAAGUCCAACUUGAAUGGGGCCACACAGAGGGUGACAGGCCCGUAGAGCAGGAGCGGUUGUCGUGUGGGUCUCUCCUUAGAGUCGGUUUGCUUGAGAGUGCAGACUUAAGUGGGUGGUAAACUCCAUCUAAGGCUAAAUAUGACCACGAGACCGAUAGCACACAAGUACCGUGAGGGAAAGGUGAAAAGAACUUUGAAGAGAGAGUUCAAGAGUACGUGAAACUGAAGUGGUGUAAACGGACGAGUUCGAAAAGUCCGAAUGGUGAGAUUCAAGCUUACCGUGCCGGUGGCCCUCGGGUUCAGAUGGCGUCGUCAGCUCGGGCUUCGGUUCGGGUCAUACGGCGUCACUCGUCCUGGGGGUAUCUGUCUGGUGCGGUGGGCUGCACUUCUCGCCUAGUAGGACGUCGCGACCCGUUGGGAUGUUCCGUUCACUGGCCCUCGGUGGAGCCCGCGCCGGAGCGUGGCCUUGUGCCGCGUUGCUGUUUGCACGGACCCGGGGUGACCUGAUCGGCGCCCGACGGUAUCAAAGCUUGGGAAGAGGCCGCACAGAGGAUGCGUUCGAUGGCCGUUUCGGCCUACACUCGGACAGGCCUGCACCCGGUCAGCGGCGCUUCUGCUUUCGAUACUCGUCCGACCCGUCUUGAAACACGGACCA